ensembl:snoRNA small nucleolar RNA SNORA55
GCAUCUGAAUCUUUCCCGCUCCUUGCUGUGAGGUGCAGGCCCGGGGACAUAUGAUGCUAAAGCAACGCAGAGGAAAUCCAGGCAAGUUUAUGUUCUCUUACAAAAGACUUGCCUCUACAACUCUGUAACAUUU